rnacentral:rRNA from 1 species
GGGGGGGGGGGGGGGGGGGCGGGGGGGGGGGGGGUGGGGGGGGGGGGGGGUGGGUGGGUGGGGUGCUCUGGUGGCGGGCGGGUGAGGAAGACGGGGGUACCAGGGCGUGGAGGGUGUGGUGACGUCAGUAGACGAGGGAUCAUACCGGCUUGAGGCUCCUGCUGCAUGGGGUGGUGUGUCAAUUGUCGGCGGUUGGGGAUGGAAUCGCGGGUUAGCAGCUUGUUGGUGGGGUAGUGGCUUACCAAGGCUUUGACGGGUAGCCGGCCUGAGAGGGUGACCGGCCACAUUGGGACUGAGAUACGGCCCAGACUCCUACGGGAGGCAGCAGGGGGGAAUAUUGCACAAUGGGCGGACGCCGGAUGCAGCAACGCCGCGUGCGGGAUGACGGCCUUCGGGUUGUAAACCGCUUUCGCCUGUGACGAAGCGUGAGUGACGGUAAUGGGUAAAGAAGCACCGGCUAACUACGUG